GAGCGUCUGGAGGCGCUGAUGAAGGAAGCGGAUUAACGGCGCGCGGCUCCCGCGGCCGCGCCAGCCUGCGGCGGGACAGCGGGGAGGAGGAGGAAGAGUAGCAGCAGCAGCAGCGCACGGCAGCGGGAGCCAGCCCCGGGCAGAUUGCGUAUUCCGGGCAGGGCUACCGAUAGUCGGAGGCCUGGCUACUGAGCGGGGACGGGCGGCGGGGAGGCACGGACACGGACUCGGCUCGUUUCCGAAAUCCGUCCGGAAGAGAGUAAAGUCUGACCGAGAGGAGCUGAGCUCCACCGAGUGGGGAGAGAGACGCUCUGAGCAGCCGACCCCGGCAAUCGCUAUUUUCACACGCCGGAGAGCGCGCGGUAGCUCCCGCCAGCGCUGCCGCCAGCUCCCGGGGGCUCAGCGAGUAGCUGAAAGCAGCCUGAAAAUAACUCGAAACACCCCAAAACCCAACUCCUGGCCGCGGCAGGCAGGACUCGGAGCCGCAGAGCGCGGUCGGGCCCGAGCCAGCGCUGCAGCGCGGCUACCGGCCGUCCCGGCCACCGGCCACCCUGGCUACCGGCCACCCUGGCUACUGCCCCGGCCCAGGGACUGCGGCGGGGUGGGACGGAAAAGCAGCGUUUGUGGAGGAGCCCUGCUCUCCUGCCCAUCUGAUAGGAAACUUUAGAAGGGCUUUCAGAAGCCCAGUUCACCAGAUCUUAAAUCCAGCAGAAGGCAGCAUAAACCCAGAAAACGGCGUAAAUAUUCGUCCUGAGGACCCAAACUGAUGUGACAAAGCCUAGAUUCUACUCUAAAGCUGAACAUCUCACCACAAAAGCAAAAUUGUGCUGGAGCCACAAAGUCCGGCUAUUAAGUUGUUCUUCCACAGGUACUUCCCACACUCCAAAUGCAAAGUCCAUAGAUAAUAUGGAUCAAAUACUUCAUCCUUCCCAUCUAUUUUAAUACCACACUAUCUCCGCUCCUCAUAGAAAUACCACCCAAUAUAGCAUAUGUUAAUUUUGUUGUGACAAGAGCAGAAUUUGGUACAGGGAUGUGAGAAAAAAACCCCAACAAUUCAGGCAAAAUUCACAAGUGUCCCUAAAGGAAGAAAGAAAAAGGAGAUUAAGCCUUUUCUCAAUGCACAUCAGAAUGUAGGUCAAAGAAGAAAUAAAGCUCAAGCCAGAUCUGGUAGCCUUGGUCAUCGUCCUACAACCACCAGCAGAUGGAAGACGCAUGGGAACAUGCUAAUAUUGGCAUCCUAAACAGGCUAAACAAGUUCUUAAGCUCGGUAGCCGAUAUGUGUUUUAGUAAAGGUAGAGAACACAACUCUGAGGUCGUUGGAUGGUCUAGAGGAGCAAGAAAUCAGGAGCACAGAUAUUUCUGAAAGCUGCUUCAGGUCGGCGUCUGUGUUACAUUCACCUCAUUUCCACCGUUCAGAAGAUAAAGUAGGGGCUACUGCUGAGGGUGUGUUGGCCUGGAGUCUGACACCGGGACAAGAAAGACUGCAAUCCUCUUAUUUUUUUAAAAGAAGCAAACCCUAGCACCUUGUAAAGGAUGGUUUGGUGGUGGUUUUUUUUUUUUUUUAAUCUUUUACAUUGCUGGCUGUAAAUUUUAAAUUAAGAGACUACAUCCUCAAAUAGUUAAAGGAAAAAAAAAGGAUAAAACUGUAAGCAUGCUGCAACAGCACUCAAAAUCUUAAGAAUACACUUUUAAGAUGGUUUAUGCUAAGAACGAAAGGAAUUCCAUAGGCUUGAGACCGAGAGAUGGUCCUUUACUUAUUUUCUGGUGAAACUGAUUUUUUUUUUCUGGUGAAACUAUUUUCAUGCAAGUGCAAGUUGCAGCUCCCACCCAACUGCUCGGGACAGAAUUUCUGGUAAGUAGUUCAGGAAUAGGGUGAGAUGGUAAACUGGUGCUUUUUGACAAGAAGAAUCUGAGACUCUUCAGGGUCACUCUGUAAUCUGUACCGUCGGGUCUGUUUGCCUAUCUCCCACCCACCGGGAGCGACGCUUAAAUGCGAAACGUUUUCUGUGGCAAAGCAAGACACGAGAUUGGAAACAGUCAGAAUUCCACGAUCUAAGCAGUGAGGUGAAUGACCCUAAAGAGAAAUGAAAAUGAAUCUUUCUGGAACUGAAAGACAUUAAAGAUCAGUAAGUUGCUGAGGAAAUGGGGAAAGCAGUGGACGCAUGCAAACACUGCUUGGCUCAAGACGGUGCCUUCAGCGUGAUAUUAUCUGACCCUGUCUCUAAUAAGCACUUUAAUGGCUGGAAGAGGAUAUAUUGGGAGCUUUGCUCCAAUUCAACAAGCGCUUCAUGGACUAUCGAUUUUGCUCACAAGUGGGAGAGAACAAAGUUCACCCAGCAUUGCUGUUAUUUAAAGAUCUGCCAAAGGACAUCUCAACCUCCUGAAAACUGGUCCACCACAGCCUGUCUCAGAUCAGUCGGUCUUGUGAUCUGCAACUUCGGACACAAACGUUUUGCUGGCAAACAGUGAGUCAGACCCACGGAGCCAUUACUGGAGGGAACGGCUGUAAACAAGCACCUCUUGCUUGUUUACUGAUCAUUGUCACAUGGCUCAUCAGUACUUGACCCUGAUUAAAAGAAGAAUUAACCAGUUGUGGAAAACUCUACAAACUUCUGGUAUAAUUUGACUUUUUGUAAGUUUUAACUGCUGCAAACACUUCUAUGAGAAGCAGGAACUCGAAGCAGUGGGUCCGCACAUACAAAGAGAUCUCAGGCUCCCUUCCUGCUGAUUGUAUCAGUCACUGAAUAUCCCCAAGAAUCUUUUUCAUCUGGACCUGCCAGCCUACUUUUAACUGUCUGCAGCCUGGAAGCACGAUACACGAAAGAAAAACCGGGAGCCCUUGCGGACCUCACUGGUUUUAUCAUUUGGUGCAAGAGAUAAGGCUCAGUGCCCAAGUCUUUUUUCUAGCAGGGAAUCCUUUCUAGAACAGACUAUGGGAUACUCGGCACCGGGGGAAUCUGCUUACAAGAAGUAACCAGCAGUGGCUUGUUCUGCAUCAGCUGGACUGCUGGUCACUUAACACUGCCCUUUUUAAAUGAAAACAGCACUGUGCCACGGUCCGCAUAUACAAUCAGAUGAUUUUCUUAUCAUCUGCUAAUUUUCCCUCCUCCUACAUGCUAACACUGCGUUUUGCCCCCUCUAACUGGUAAGCUCUUCGGGGUGGGGGCACUCGAGGUGCUACAGGACCACUGUGCUAUAAACUCUGUAGUUUUAAGGAUGACUGGCUUCCCGAGUGCAGCUUGCAGCUGUGUAUUAGUUUCUUGUUGGCUCCUGAUUAAAAAAUAUUUAAAUUACUAAUUGUCGCUAGUAUCCAUGUCCAUAUACCCUGAAGCCCCAAGCAGUGAAGGCAGGAGAGAAGAGAGUUUUGCACAGCACCGUUACUGGGACGUGCUCGGAGAAUGAAAAUGCGUGUGACAUUUCCUCCGCCGUGGAGAGAGUUUUGGUCUUUACUGCCCUCCAAAUUAGAGGUAAUGGGGGAAAUAUAAAUAUGACCUCAUAACUGUUAAGCUUUAGCAACUGUGGAAGAGAAGGGACCAAAAAGCUCUAUUUGUAAUUACCCCAUUUUCUAGAAAACCAGUCUUUAUUGUUGAAGGGGACAGUUAGGCUGCCUGGUAUCCUUGGGGCUGAAAUGGUUCAUUUCUCGGGGAGAUGAAGCAGCAGACCCCAAAGUCGUGCAGUAUCGUAGAUUCAAACCUCGCUCUCUCCCUCUGACACACGUGAGAUGUCCCUCCACGGGGCUGCGGUGCUGUUUUCAGCAACUGUACCAAAGAUUUGGAAAGUCAGAUCGUGCUGUUCAGCCACGUUGUGGAUUUUCAGAUUAUCAAACUUAAAGCUGAAAGGGUUCAAAAGCAUUUUCAAGUGGGAUGUGUGUUCAUCAGCCCAAGUGUCUCGGAAAUGGCAGGGGGUGGUUGUUACUGACUCCGGGUUGUCAUUGUUAAUAAUACAUCGUUAUUAAUCAGAUUUGAACAAAACCCCCCAGUCAGUGUUUACUGGUUGGCAAACUGGACACAGAAAAGCCUGAUUCAGGAAAGAUUUGUUUUUACAGUUCAGACCCUGCAAACUAAAGGUUUCAGAGUGUGUAGGGAAUGCCUUUCACAAGGUAAACGGGUUUGUAGUUGCAGCCUGAAGAACUCCACCUAAAUUCCACAGAUGUAUUUGAGCAAUUCCCAGUAGUUUAUUCUCUCAGUCCAGCAUCAGACUAGAUUCCUAGCGGAGAUUAAUGCUCGCACAAUCAGAUAUCUGUCUGUACGGAUGCCAUGACAUCCACAGGUCUCUGUGGUUUAACAGACGAGUUCUGGCUAAAGAUCCUUAAGGAUGGGGUGACCGAGAAAUAAGGAGUUGAUGGAAUGCUCUGAGUUCUGCCUAUGCAAGACCUUCUUUUUCCAGUUUUGAUGAAAAUAGAUACAAGAUCCUCCAGAACAUUGUCAUGUUACUCUUACUUCAGAUUUCUUUAAAUAUGCAGACAGGCAAAUGAUUCAUGCUCUCCCUGUUGCUAAAACCCAUACUGUGUACGAACACUGAGGCUGGUUGUGUAUAAAAUCAUAUUUUAACUGAAUUCGCUUCAGCUUUAACUUCUUUUUUUUUACUGGAAGUAAAGCCCUUCUUACCCCAAAGACCAGGACUACUUGUUGGCUACAGGCAAAAGCAUGGAGCGAGGUGGUCGGCACGAGACUGUGAUUAACCUUAGCACACUGAAUCUCCAGGACCAGAGUCAAGGUAGCCUUGGACGGAGCCAGGCAGAGAACAGAAAUCACACAUAGAGACCUCACAACAGAGAUGAAAUUAAUCCUGGUUUAGAACAAAAAGUAGAUAAAGAGCGAAAAGUAGAAACUUAGAGCAAAACACACUGCAGAAUACUGUGCCUUCGACAGAACUGAGCGCUUAGAGCUGUGAAAGGGAGCGCCCGGUUGUUCCUGGUUUCUCAAGGCAUCCACCCAGGGAUCAGCACUGCAUUGAAACUUGCAUUGCAUCCAAAGACAACUGCCAUUUUGCUACAAAAUAAUCUCCUUGAUUAUAAUUAGAUUUAUUAACAUUUGUAUCGUGUCAAGGCCAAGCAAGCAGGUUAUCUGUACCUCUCAAACAACUUUCUUUUAAACUUUCGUAAGUGAAUAAAAGUUUGACAGUUCAACAUGACCUCAGUUUACUUUAACUCAUGUUGUUAUUUUUAAAAGAUGAAUACUCCGAGCCCUUUGUUACCUGUAAUUCUCAAGGACUUGACUGUGUUGUUUGUAAAAUGCCAACAGAGCCUCACCAUAAAGUUACGUUACAAGCAAUCACGGGCACAUUGAUGUAAAGCCAAAGGUCUGAGAAAGCACAGCCAGGUUUUACUGAUCUAAAUAAAGUCAACUAGACAGAUUGUUAUUGGAAUACGCUGCAUUUUGAAAACCUCUGUAUUUUCACGAGGAUUAUGAGAGUCUUAUACCAUGUUUACUAUAAGCAUUUAUUAACAUUGUUCCUUCUGGUAAUAAGAUGUUUAUUAUCAGCACAUAAAACCCGCCAGUCUUUUCCCCUGACCGCCUGCUAAUUCUAACUUCAGUUCUAUGAAGUCGCCUCUCUUCCCCCAACAGCACUAUACUAGGUCAGUUCCAUAACCUGCUUUCCUGCUGAAAAGCGAGGCUUAUAAAUUAAAUUCAUUUCUAAAUUUAGGAUUGAUGGGAUCAGUCAUUACGGGUCUUAUUUUUUCAGGCAGAUUUCAAGGGAAAAGAAUUCAUAAAGCAACCACUGCUUCUCUCUUCGAGUUUGUGAGAGUCCUAAACUGUAACUCUCCGCGCAUUCGUUGCAUUAGUUGCUGAGGCCACCUUUGCAGAAUCGACAUAGAGGAGGACCAAGAUUAGGGGUUUUCUUCUUCCUGAAUAAUCUUAUAUUUCAAUAGUACUUCACAAAUUGCAUAUGCGGUUUCCCCGCGUCUUUACCUUAGAAAAUUCAGGCUGUUCAAUAGGAACUAAAAUCAGUUGAGGAAGAUGGAAGAGCACUUUGUUGUGCCGGACAGGCAGACUUUGGUAAGCUGCUUUCCAACCUAAAAUCUGCCCUGGACAAUGAAUCCAGCUACUUCUACUGAGAAAAGGCAGUGGGGGAGAUCCCUCGCAGCCAUCAGAUGCUGCUACCGGUUACACGCCGCUCCCAGUGCCCUGCCAAGGGAUGGCUCUCGGGAAAAAAAAAAUCCCAUCUCUGUCACCAAAAGCUGAAGCACCCUUUGUUUUCCUUUGAAGAGGAGGCCGGUCCUCCAUCACACGCUUAGCCAGCCUUGCUCUGGGUCUGCAGAGGCACAUGCAGCCGAGAGGGAGGGCAGAGGGUGCCACAGAUCCGCACUCCACGGCCCCCCUGCUCCGAUGCCUAAUCAUAGACUUGUUUAAUAACUGCAGAAAAGGACAGCCCAAUUCUUAUCAUCAGGCUCUCUGGAGAUUUGACAUCCUUGGCAUUGUAUCCUAAGAGGAAGGAAAUUUCUCACUUCCCUAGCUAUUUCAGUUAUAUAAAUCAAUUGUUGAAGGAUAGUUUAACUGGUCUGCACAUAGGAACCAAGGCAACUGUAUCUGGGCUCCAGUGCUCUUUGGAGAUAUUGAUCUAUAAAUUAAAAAUAUAAUGCUUUCUAAUUCAUCAGUAAUUAUAUGCAUGUACAUUGAGAAAAUGGUGAAAUCUAAUAGCUAGGAAAAAAACCUGCCUGAUUUUAUACCGGCAGUCACGAUGCCAAGUUUCUUCCCCAGCUGUGAAGCUGUUUUGAUCGGGGCCCUUUGGACCCAAAGCCCAGAUGCUGUCACUGAAUACCGACCAUCCUCCCCUCAUUUUCUCCAGCCUCCUUGGAACACCCACGUCCUAUUGGCUGGGCAAAUGGGUUCAGUUGCAUAAACUUAAAGAACUUAUAAAAGACUAUUAGUAAGGGCAGUUGAUUAGAAGAUGGGGUUUGCUGGCAAAGAAAAAAAAAAACUAGUAUGGGCUGCAAAAACAAUUAAAAGAUGGAAAAAAUCCUGAAAAAUACCUCUGGUAGCUCCGUGAGCAUAAGGCCACUGGUUUACUAUGCCAGGCAACCAAAAAGUAAACACUGCAGGUAUCGUUCCAGGAUUUCAGCUUGGCACUAACACCCUGAUUAUUCACUUGCAGCAAGAAAUAGAUCUGUCCUAAGCCACAGAAGCUGAAGGGUGAGCUGAUGUCAUGGCUGACAGAAGGAACCCCUUGUAAAGUGAAACGAUGAUGAAGGCACAAUAGCUCAUACAUGGCGACAGGGCGUCCACGUUAUCUCUUUCUAGGGAAAUGGCACAGAGUAUCCUUCACAACCAGCGUUAAUUUGCUUAUUUUGCAAAUCUAGAAGCCUAUUUGGUUAAAAGUAAUGACUGAAAUGAAAAGGCAGGGAGGACUCGGCCAUACCACAGUGAUUCUGUCCUCCUGCCCAUACUGAUUUUUAAGCUUUCUCCUCUAACCCUGCGGAAGACCCAAAGAGGAGUAUUUUCUCCUGUGAUUAGGAUGGGUCAAUGGAUUUGGUCAAUGCAGUUUAUUUUACUUGGGAAAAAUUAUUUAUUAUCCUAUUCUGAAAGGAACUUAUGGCAUCUCUAUACAUAACCAACCAACCAGGCAAGACCGCUGGCCUCCGGAGAUGCUCUCUGAUGCUCUCCAACAGCCAGGCCACCUCCUCCUACAUGGUACGGCAGCUCAAAUGCCUUCAGCUGUCAGAGCUGGGCUACUAACCACGCUGGUAAGGAUUCCAAAAACAUACAUGCCACCUUGCUCCAAAGAAAAGGGGAUUAGUCAGCAAAAGGGGUAUUCUUAUAGUGUGACUUCUCUCAUUGUUCUUUGGCUGCAACAUCCAUUGAUAUUUUUGGUGGCACACCAGAAUUGUGAAACUAGAUACUCUGAGUCAGCCCAGAAGCGUAGAUGAGAUCAAACCCCAGCGUUCUGCAAGGACCAGCAAGCCAGCAUGGGUAAAUACUCUUCACGCAUCUACCCAAAGAGUUUUUUUCUGAGCAAGAAUGCCACAGAGAGAUGCCCCAAGUCCUCGUUCCACAGCAUCGCGCUACUACUAGGAGACAUUUUAGGGUUGUCUCUCCUGAUCCCUCAGGGGUGCUGCUAAAAACGUGGCUGUGACCCGCUGCAGAACUCACCACUGCUACUUUGAAAUUCCGUGCCUGCCUUUGGGGAAGUGUGACAACAUACGGGCCAGUUUCUCCAGAGACUCAGCGGGCUCCCUAAGUUCAUGCUGAGGGUCAUGGGGUGGAAGGCAGUUGAUCUCCCCUUGGCCCAAACAGCUGAACUCUUAGCGAGAGAAGAGACAUUCAGUUAUACCUAAAUCUAGCAGUGCCUGAUAUUUUUGGCUGCAGUACGGUGGUUCUGCCUCUUACAUACAAUCCUUGAAGCACCCAGUCUGUCAUGAUGGCAACUGGAUAAUUGACUUUGGAUGAAAGCUAAUCCACAUUCUUCAAGCAGCUUUCAAAAGCAAAGCUGGUGUGAUUGUGUGCUUUUUUUUUUUUUUUUAAACAAAGUUUUGUUAUUUGUACUCCCCAAUUUGUGGCUUGCAGACGAGUUUCUUCCUGCAAGACCCUCUGAAAUUGCUCAUGGCAACAGGGAAUUAAGAUGGUUAAAACGAAGCCAACUGGGAGACGUGAAAUAGCUCGCAGCGUUUUGCUUGCUUCAGACAGUAGUCCACUGGACAGCAGGAUUUAGGGACACAGACAUAAUUUCAGUUAUAGUUGUGCGAUAACAACAUCUGUUUUACUCUCCAGAAGAUUCAGUCACCGCUUGAACAGUACGCGUGCUCAGGUUCGUGUAAGAUGUGUCAUUAAACUCUCGAGAAAGUCUGAAAAAAUGAGCCAGCUGUGCCACUGAGAUUGCGAUUAGAAGAAAAACUCAAUCUACAGUUUAAAAGAAGACUGACCACUAAAAAUGCGUUUUCUUUCUUAAAACUUUGUGCUUGGUACAGCCAUGAAAAAUCCUGAAGUAUUUCACGCAGUUUUCUUUGCAUUUAGUGGUGCUUUGAGUUCAGUCCUGUCAAAUAAAUAUUUUGUACCAGCGA